rnacentral:rRNA from 1 species
CCUACGGGCGGCAGCAGUGGGGAAUAUUGCGCAAUGGGCGAAAGCCUGACGCAGCGACGCCGCGUGAGGGAUGAAGGUCUUCGGAUCGUAAACCUCUGUCAGCAGGGAAGAACGGUCACUGUGCUAAUCAGCAGUGACUUGACGGUACCUGCAAAGGAAGCACCGGCUAACUCCGUGCCAGCAGCCGCGGUAAUACGGAGGGUGCGAGCGUUAAUCGGAAUUACUGGGCGUAAAGCGCUCGUAGGCGGUAUGUCAAGUCAAGGGUGAAAUCCCCGCGCUCAACGGGGGAACUGCCUUUGAAACUGGCAAACUGGAGUGUGUGAGAGGAUAGUGGAAUUCCAGGUGUAGGAGUGAAAUCCGUAGAUAUCUGGAGGAACAUCAGUGGCGAAGGCGACUAUCUGGCACAUAACUGACGCUGAGGAGCGAAAGCGUGGGUAGCAAACAGGAUUAGAUACCCCAGUAGUC